rnacentral:lncRNA from 1 species
GGACCGCGUAAGGCGGAAAGUAACCAAUCCACAUCAGCUCUUGCAAAAUUUAAUUGAGCAAUUUAAUUUUUAACAUGAAAACAGUUGUACAAAUUUUGUGCAAAUUUCAUUGAAUUUUCUGCAUAGUACGAGGCAAAUUCCUUGAAAUUUUCAAAGGAAUCUACAUAAACGUUCUCUUGUAAGAAAGUGAAUUGCCAGGUCACAUUUGGCAAUAGCUAAUGUGGCUUGGUUCCUUUCUGAUUUACGCGGUCCAAUUAAAAGGAGCAGUGGAGAUUUUAAAUGGUAUGAAAAUAUAUUCAUUGCAAGUCGAAUUUAUGAAACUAUUAUCUGUUGAUUUAAACAAAUACAAUUUUAAGGGCACACACAUCGAAGGAACUUUCAGCCCUUUUACCUCUUCCAGAUUUUGUGACGAGUAUUCAGUUUUUUGUCGAGCCAUGCUGCUGGCUCGGGGGACCUUCUCCUCGAUUUUCAUCGCAUCAACUGUGAUGCUCACAUCUUCCAUGAAGAGCAACCCGGAGCUGCUUCCUUUCAUCUUAUCUCAAAUAAUUUAUUCCACUUUGGACGUCUUCCUUUUCUGCUAUUUUGGAGAAAUGUUCAUUCAAAAUAGCCAAAAAAUAAGUUCCGAGCUUUAUACUACGAAUUGGUACACUUUCUCUCGGAGAAGCAUACAAUUAAUGCGCAUCGUACACUUACGGGCUCAAAACCAGCUCGCCUUACCCUGUUCAAAAGAUACAUUGUCGUUGGUAUCCACUUGAUGGUUCAGGUUAGUGAUGUUAGAUCCAUGCAAUCAUAGAAUAAUGAUGCUUCGCAAUCAGAAGCGAACUGGGAUAGGGAAGUUGAAGCGAAGAAGAAGAACAUUUAGUACAGUACUGUUUACAAUUGAAGAAUGCGUGCCCGUGCGAUGUAACCGUAACGUGAAGGACUGAAAACUUGCUUUAUUUCAGCGUUCGGAAAUGAAAAGGUAGGUUUUGCAUCAAUUUUAUCAUUGUAAAAUGUAGUUCAUAAAAAGUAUCUCUCAUUUUCCAAUUUUCAUCAUUUUUCUCAGUAAUAAGCAAGUACGGGGUUUGCUUCAGCGCGUUCUUACGGGAGUUUCGCUUCUGAUUGCGAAGCAUCAUUAUUCUAUGCAUGCAAUGAUCACUUUUUUGCCGUGCUGAGGAAAAACGCCGUAUAAAUAUUCGAAAGUUGCCAAAUUUCUUUCGAUAAAUUCUUAUUUUUGAGGAAAGCUAUGAAUAUUUUCCCUUGAAAUUUUCAGGAACUUAAGGUGAAAUUGCGAACAAAAUUAUCGGAAGAAUUAGAGGAAAAAUUUUUACAAAUCUUCCUGAGUAUUCGUUUUUCACGAAAAGAAAUUUGGCAACGCCUGAAGGUUUAUGCAGCGUUUUUCCUUUGCACGGCAGUGUUAUGGACUGGGUAAGCGGAGAAAAGAAAACUUUUUUUUUUGGAGAGAGUUUUUUUGGCUUCUAGUCUUUUGUUAUAAAUCUUUAGGAAUCUACAGUCAUCUAUAGACGCUAUUUAUUGUCCUUAGACAUCAGGGAGAUAGACAUCCAUGCUCAGGCUUACAAAUUUUCACGGAUUAAGGCCGAGUGAAUUCAACUUGCAGAUCCACUCGUCAGUUCCACGGAAAUUUGUCGCCAUUUAGGCUUACAAAUUUCCAGGGAUUAAGGCCGAGCGAAUUCUGCUUGCAGAUCCACUCGUCAGUUCCAUGAAAAUUUGUCGCCACCACCAGGAUUCGAACCCGGGACCUAUUGACCGCCUAUUGGACGUAUUUGACCUAUUUGUCGGGUGGUCAGACGCGCUGACCACUAGGCCAACCUGGCCGGCAAAAGAAAAACUUGGUG